GUGGGGAAUAUUGGGCAAUGGGCGAAAGCCUGACCCAGCCACGCCGCGUGAGUGAUGAAGGCCUUCGGGUUGUAAAGCUCUUUAGCCGAUGAUUAUAAUGACUGUAGUCGGAAAAUAAGCCCCGGCUAACUUCGUGCCAGCAGCCGCGGUAAUACGAAGGGGGCGAGCGUUAUUCGGAAUCACUGGGCGUAAAGCGUGCGUAGGCGGCUUUGCAAGUUGGGAGUGAAAGCCCAGGGCUCAACCCUGGAAUUGCUCUCAAAACUGCAAGGCUCGAAUUCGGGAGAGGAUAGCGGAAUUGUCAGUGUAGCAGUGAAAUGCGUAGAUAUUGACAGGAACACCAGUGGCGUAAGCGGCUAUCUGGACCGAUAUUGACGCUGAGGCACGAAAGCGUGGGGAUCAAACAGGAUUAGAAACCCUUGUAGUCC
rnacentral:rRNA from 1 species